rnacentral:rRNA from 1 species
ACCCGACUCCGUGAAGCUGGAUUCGCUAGUAAUCGCGCAUCAGCCAUGGCGCGGUGAAUACGUUCCCGGGCCUUGUACACACCGCCCGUCAAGCCAUGGAAGCCGGGGGCGCUUGAAGUGCGUUGCCGCAAGGCGCGCCCUAGAGCGAAACCGGUGACUGGGGCUAAGUCGUAACAAGGUAUC